GCGCGCCCGCGGCGCUCCAUCCCAAACACACACACAUUUUUCCCCCGGACUUGGAAAGUCACCCAAAGCCGCCCCAAGUGCAGGCAUCACUGGCUGAAGGCAAAGACCCCCUCCAUCCCACCUGCCCUCCCAGCUGCCACGGCCAGUAGCCCCUCCUGUCGAAGGGGUCCUGCAGCUCCAGUGGUGUGUUCUGGAAUGGACUUCGGACCCCGGCCUCUUGAGAUGCAAAGGAUGAAGUGAUGCCCCUGCUGUAAAAGAGGAGCCUCUAGGACCUGCUACAAGAGUUUGGGACCAAAGCGAGGAGAAUGGAUCUCGGUACAG